GUGGAAAUGUGAGCGUGUUUUCAGUACACAAACCUCGUGACUAAGAAAAAAACAUAUUUGAAUUUCACACCCGAAAAUUUGUGUAUUUUUUCACACGAUACUUGUGAAAAAUUAAAUCCGAUUCGUUGCUCGGGCUAAUUUGUGAGCAGAGUCAAAAAUACGGAAUGGCUUGUCCCGUGGGAAAUGGAACAGAGGAACUUGCGCAGGCGGGUGAUCAGCUGACCGAAGGUCCAGGCCGUGGACUCUUGUACGGCGAAUAUCUGAAACUCGACAAAAUUCUAUCAGCACAAACGCUGGUCAGUGCGGAAUAUGAUAAAGAAGUUCACGACGAGCAUCUUUUCAUCGUGACUCAUCAAGCGUACGAGCUGUGGUUCAAGCAAAUCAUUUACGAGCUCGACUCUGUGAGACGUUUGUUCGACACGGAAGUGGAGGAUUACAGCAGAUCGGAUUCUUGCGAUGGGAGCUCGUCGAGCUCGAAGGGAACUGGGGCCCAUCCGCGUCUCGACGAGACGAGAACUCUGGAAAUCCUCAAGAGGCUAAACCGCAUUGUUCUCAUACUGAAACUACUGGUCGACCAAGUCGACAUUCUGGAGACGAUGACACCGCUGGAUUUCAUGGCAUUCAGGGACUAUCUCUGUCCAGCCUCGGGAUUCCAGUCUUUACAGUUUCGUCUCCUGGAGAACAAGCUCGGAGUCAAGCAGGAACACCGCGUUCGGUACAAUCAAUGUUACACGAAGGUUUUUGGUCGCGAUCCAAAAGCGAUGGAAGCGAUAAGGCGAUCGGAGGAGGAACCGAGUCUGAGUUCGCUGGUACAAGCGUGGCUCUCCAGGACUCCUGGCCUGGAGGAAAGCUGUUUCGACUUUUGGGAUAAAUACCGGAGAUCCGUCGAUGCCAUGCUCGCCGAACAGGAAGAAGCUGCCAGGAAAACGACGAAGGUAGAGGUGCGAAAUUACAUGCUGGCGAAUGUGGAAUCUCGUCGAGCAGUUUUCGACACUAUUUUCAACGAGUCCCACCACAAAGCCCUCGUCGCAAGGGGCGAAAGGAGAUUCACUCAUUCAGCGUUUCAAGGAGCAGUUAUGAUAACGCUUUAUCGCGACGAGCCAAGGUUCAGUCAACCUCAUCAAAUCCUCACGGCCCUUAUGGACAUUGACUCCCUCAUCACUAAAUGGAGAUAAUCACGUUAUAAUGGUACAGAGAAUGAUUGGCUCGCAGCGACUCGGUACCGGGGGUUCUUCCGGUUAUCAGUACCUCAAAUCGACUCUCAGCGAUCGUUACAAAGUUUUUCUCGAUCUUUUCAAUCUUUCAACGUUUCU
rnacentral:misc_RNA from 1 species